GGCCUCCUGGGCUCAAGCGAUACCCCCACCUCAGCAUUCCACGUAGCUGGGACCACAGGUGUGUGCCACCAUGACAGUGAGGGACUCGACACUCGACGAAUGGACACAGACUCAGGCUAGAUUGGCUCGUUGGAUCUUCCCUGAGGUGGAAAAUACUUCAUUAUUUUCUGCUGUCUUCAGAAAAGCCAGUUUCAGUCUUUAACAGUGGUAGAUUUGGUACCAGGUUCCAGAAACACGAUGUAAGAGAGAGUUUCCCUGACAGUGGGCCACUCUCCGUGGCCUUGUAGGGAGACAGACCAGGGAGUCAGUCCUUAGGGCCAAGGCAGAAGGAUUGCUUGAGCCCAGGAGUUGAAGACCAGCCUGGGCAACAUAGACCCUGUCUCUACAAAAAAUUUAAAAAUUAGCUGGGCGUGGUGGCACGUGCCUGGAGUCCCAGCUACUCAGGAGGCUGAGGUGGGAGGAUCCCUUGAGCGCAGGAAGUCAAGGCUGCAGUGAACUGUGAGGAAACCAUGCAAGGUUAGGAAAAGUCUUGAGUGUUUGUGUGCAUGGGGCUGGGGCCUGUGUGCUGGACUAGGGAGUUUGAGCUUUGGCUUAAAUACGGCAGUCAUGAAGGCUGGAGGGGCAGCACAGUGGGGGACCAGCUUCAGGAGGGACGCUCACCUGAACCCCCUUUGCUAAGACUCUGAGUCUAGGAUGACGACUGUGUUACUCUGUUCUGACACUGCUAUAAAGAAAUACCCAAGACUGGGUAAUUUUAUAAAGGAAAGAGGUUUAAUUGACAGUUUCACGUGGCUGGGCAGGCCUCAGGAAACUUACAAUCAUGGCAGCAGAAGAGAAGCGCAAGCAGGGGAAAUGCCAGAGGCUUAGGAAACCAUCAGAUCUCGUGAGAACUCACUCUCACGAGAACAGCAGUGGGGAAACCACCUCCAUACUCCAAUCACUUCCCACCGGAUCCCUUCCUCCACACGUGGGGAUUAUGGGAACUACAGGAAGAGAUUUGGGUGGGACACAGCCAAACCAUAUCAGUGACUUUACCUUUUCCCCUCUGAUUUUUGUUCCUGUUUUAUUUUUAGUCCAUUACUAAUUGUGCUUACCUGGGAGCAGCUUAACUUAGCUCAUUUUCUGAAAAUUCUGGAGACCUAGAAAUGGCCUUGUGGCCUCUUCCUCACCUGAAAGGCACCUACUAAAGCUCAAAGAUGGCUCUGCCUUGGAUGUCCAAAAUUUCUGCUUUUGACUAUAGUGAAGAUGAGACUGGUGAGCUGCUGGAGCUACGGUAGUGACAUGGAAGCCCUGAUCCCACCUUUAAGGAACCUGUGGUUUAGGCGGGAACAUGAGGCAACUUCAUGCAAACUGCAGCAAGUGAAGAGUCUCAGCUGAGCAGAGACCUGGAGAGUCUGGGUGAAGGGAACAUUCUCUGGCACCUGAAGAAGGCUUAGCCAGACCUACAUUUUAGCAGGUGGAGAAGGAGUUAAAAAAAUCCAAGCAGGAGCCCUAAGGGAGCUCACAGUAGGAAAGCCAUGGGUGUUAAAGCCUCCAGCAGCAGUUGGCUACAGGCCUUUUGCAUAUCGAGCCAAUUGAUAAAAUGGGGAAUUAAUGCCACAGCCAGUUAUUCAAGCACUAGAACAAGAAGACGUGGAAGGGCAAGUGGGCCCCACUCCCAGCUGGGGGCUGCAGAUCUCUCUUAGGUAAGCAGUACAACCUGAGAAAAGAGGACAACCCUCUGGGAUCUUUGGCACCGUGACGCUGCCAUAUUCCAGGAGAGGACAGGUGAGGGUUCGCUGUGGCUGAAUCGGAAGGAGACAGAAGAAGCAGGGACGAGCCACCGGGCAGGCCUCAGGACAGGCUUAGGUUCUGAACUUGAUCCCAUGGACUGGUGUUACCCAGAGUGAAGAAAACUGUCUUUCCUCCUUUAAUACCUAUAUAUUUUAUUUUAGCACGUAUUGGGGAAAAAAUAAUAGUUGCAUUGGAUAUGGCUAAUUUUACGAAUUAACUUCAGUGAAAAAAGGGAAUGGUUUUAAAGAGAAGUGAUGGGUGAGUUCUUGAGUUAAUUCCCUCAGGGGAAGCAGGUGCGCCUGGAGAGCUCAAACCGAGGCCCCUGCUUCACAGGCGGGCGGGCUUUGGGGUAGGAGCUGAAUCCACGUAGGUCUGCCCGGUCCCACGCCUCAGUUCUGUCCCCACGCGGCAGGUUCCUGGAACGACAUUCACCUUUGUUCAGGAACUCCGGUCUU